rnacentral:rRNA from 1 species
AAAUUGCUGUGGUAUUUUGACUAUACAAAGGUAUUGAAAUAAGAUUUUAAUUGAAUGCUAAGAGAAUGGAAUUUCAGAAAAAAACUUUUUUCAAGUUAAAAAUUGAAAUUUUUUUAAUUUGUGCAGAAACAAUUAUUAAUAUUAAGGACAAGAAGACCCUAUGAAUUUAUAAAUUUUAUUUAAUAUGUAACUACUAUUGAAAAAAUUUUAGCUGGGGCGGCGGAAAAAUAUUUAAAACUUUUUUAAAAUAAAAUGACCCAUUAUUAAUGAUUAUAUGUUAAAUACUCUAGGGAUAACAGCGUUAUAUUUUUUGAUAGAUCAUAUUGACAAAAAAGUUUGCGACCUCGAUGUUGGAUUAGGAUACUUUUUUAAUGCAGAUAUUAAAAAAAAAAGUUUGUUCAAC